AUUGAACGCUGGCGGCAUGCCUUACACAUGCAAGUCGAACGGCAGCACGGGUGCUUGCACCUGGUGGCGAGUGGCGAACGGGUGAGUAAUACAUCGGAACAUGUCCUGUAGUGGGGGAUAGCCCGGCGAAAGCCGGAUUAAUACCGCAUACGAUCUACGGAUGGAAGCGGGGGACCUUCGGGCCUCGCGCUAUAGGGUUGGCCGAUGGCUGAUUAGCUAGUUGGUGGGGUAAAGGCCUACCAAGGCGACGGUCAGUAGCUGGUCUGAGAGGACGACCAGCCACACUGGGACUGAGACACGGCCCAGACUCCUACGGGAGGCAGCAGUGGGGAAUUUUGGACAAUGGGCGAAAGCCUGAUCCAGCAAUGCCGCGUGUGUGAAGAAGGCCUUCGGGUUGUAAAGCACUUUUGUCCGGAAAGAAAUCCUUGGCCCUAAUACGGUCGGGGGAUGACGGUACCGGAAGAAUAAGCACCAGCUAACUACGUG
rnacentral:rRNA from 1 species